rnacentral:rRNA from 1 species
CGGUCCAGACUCCUACGGGAGGCAGCAGUGGGGGAUAUUGCACAAUGGAGGAAACUCUGAUGCAGCAACGCCGCGUGAGGGAAGAAGGUUUUCGGAUUGUAAACCUCUGUCCUCAGGGACGAUAAUGACGGUACCUGAGGAGGAAGCUCCGGCUAACUACGUGCCAGCAGCCGCGGUAA